ensembl:lncRNA
GACACACCCACACAGGCAACUGCUAGGGGUGUAACAUUUGGAUUCAUCACUCCAUUAGACCUGUUGCAGCUGAUUUUCAGUCCAGUUCUUCAGUAAUUUAGCAUACCUCAGCCUUUUUUUCUCUAUUUGCCUUAGAGUAGAUGGAACAACUGAGGAGCCAGAUGGAUCUCUCAGGUCAUGUGUCAGGUCUUGGCUGGAUUUUUUUUCCUGUUUUAAAGAGGGUGUGAACGGAAACUGUGGGAGUGAUUCUUCACCCAUCUGUAAUAUAAAGUUGCCUGGCUCAUCUGUAUCUUCCCCCAGUGUCUGAUCGGAGUCAGGACAAGCCGAGGAACCCUCCCUCCAGGCUUCGCUUGCCUCUGACAAAUGAGCCGUGCCUCUGAUGGAGUGAGUGGUCAUUGGCACCCGUAUUCAGUGAGCUCCCAAAGACAAUCAAACACUUUAAGAAAUAUGUUGUGCAUUUACAGACACAUCAUUCAUUCCUUAAACAUAGAUCAUGACUCAUGCUGUCAAGCCUGACACCCCCACCGCUCUCUCUGGAAUCUCAAAUCUAAAUAUGAGUCUUAGUUAAACUGAAUGGCUAAGGAGGGGAAUGUCUCACUCUUAAAUUUUCUCCUGGAAAGCCCGGGUGGUCUUUCAUAUCUUUUUUUUCCUUAAAAAAAUGGCACUGACUAGAUUGUUCCACAUUGCACUUCUGUCAUAGUUUAUAUCAGUCAAAAAAAAGUUGUCCUUCUCUGUAAUGAGCUAGAACAAGAUAAACCGUAUGUUCAGUAAAUGAAACUGAGGUUAAACUGAUUUUCCUCAACAAUAUUUUUGAUUGUUCCACUGAAAAGUCAAGCUGUGCACAUGGCAGAGGUGAUUAUAACGUUUAAUCACUGCGCCCCAUCGCUGAGCAUAGCAGGCUUCUCACCCCGAGGUUUGAUUUACCCGCCCUCUUCCUGAGGAAAAAUCUCAUUCACUAGACGGAUUGCUAAGCGGGUCUCUCCAACCAGCCCCUAUAAAUCAUUCUUUAAUCAGAGGCUUCUCAGAUUGGGCGCAGACACCCGCAGGAGCACCACUGUGACACCUCAACUCCUCCCCAUGCGUCUCUGCAGUCCGGGGAGCUUUCAUCCUCUUCUUUUUCCACUGUGAGCUUGUCUGCAUUUGUUUUUGUCAUCAGGAAGUGUAUGACCACACAACGAUGCUUUAAUGCCUACUUGCUACAAGGAGAGGGGAGGUCUAACAAGAUCAGGAACAAGACUACUGAUAUAGAAGCUGGGAAACAAUACAAGGAGCAAAGUGGACAACUAAACCAGUCCAAAGAGGCCCUGAGACCACAGAAAGUCCAGUCUUACAACAUGUGUCAUAUUGCAAAUAUUGGUAUCGAUCCCAUACCAAGUAAAUACAGGGACAGUAUUGUUGAUACCAAUAUCGAUACCGAUACUUUUAACCUAUGAAGGCAGCUUAUGUAUGAGAGAGCAGUUGUUAUGAUUUAUGACAUAAAUCAUCAUGAAUUUGCAAAUUCUGAACACAUGUUAAUGAUCACUAAAUCACUGUGAGUUUGGCUUUUCACAAUAAUUAGUUAACACAUUAAAAAACACCUUUUCAGCUUUUCAUGUAUUUUGAAAGUAGGGUUUAUUUGUUUGUUGAGACCUGAAAUGUAAAUGUGUGUGGGUCAACUUCUGUUUUUACAGUGUGCUAUAGGCUAUAAAUAAAAUAGGCCUGGCAGUCAACACAAAAAGGCUACAUACUUAACUUAGAGGAUGGAUACAAAGUAUCGAUCCACUCGUGCUAGUAUCGAGCUGAUGCAAAUAUCAGCGUUGGUAUCAAUAGUAUCAAUAUUUGGAUCAAUCUGCCCACCCCUACAGCCAGAUUGUGCUAAUGUAAGGAAACUUUUAAUUGGGAAUUCAGGACACAACACGAAAGUUCAGAUGGCAUGACAAGUUGGAUCAUGCUUUAUCAAAUGAACAAAGACCAGAAUAGUUAUAAGACAUCAGUCUCACAUAGUCCUUUUUUAACUUAAAAGUGAAACUGAUUAUUAGUAGGUGGUGAUUAAUUUUCCCAGUAAUGGAGUGUGAGGUAAAUUCUCACAUUGGGGCUUUAGAGAGUUGAUUUUAUCCAACCUUCUGAACACUCGAAUGACUCUCUGCUGACUGGAUACAGUUUUAAGGUCAUGAACCAUAAAAAAAUGGGGGGGGAAAACCCAACUGUGUUCAGUGUGUUUAAAUUUAACCGCAUCAGAAGAGAUUGAACCAGUGCUGUGAUUGGUCCAACAGGAAGAGCAAAGCUUGCUGGAUCUUAAAGUGUUAAAUUAUAGAUAUUUAAAGAUAUUUUUACUCUCGUGUUUUCCGGUGUGUUGGUGUAAAUCAGCUCUAAUACUAUUGAUUUUAUUAACAAAAAUGUUUCACUUUACGUUAAUAAAGUGCUUCAAAUAUUAAUACUUACAAACAUUCUGUAUGUUUACCUUUAAAUGAACAAAGAGUCGACUAGGUGCUUAGAUGUUAG